UCCCUGGUGGUCCAAUGGCUAAGACUCCAUGCUCCCAAUGCAGGGGACCCAGGUUUGAUUCCUGGUUGGGGAA
rnacentral:tRNA from 1 species